UACGGAGGGUGCAAGCUUUAAUCGGAAUUACUGGGCGUAAAGCGCGCGUAGGCGGUUCGAUAAGUCAGAUGUGAAAGCCCCGGGCUUAACCUGGGAAUUGCAUUUGAUACUGUUGGGCUAGAGUCUGGGAGAGGGAAGGGGAAUUCCGGGUGUAGCGGUGAAAUGCGUAGAUAUCCGGAGGAACACCAGUGGCGAAGGCGCCUUCCUGGCCUAAGACUGACGCUGAGGUGCGAAAGCGUGGGGAGCAAAAAGG
rnacentral:misc_RNA from 1 species